UCUUGACGGAAGCUCAAAGAUGGCCCGCGCUUAAUCGAUAGUGCCAGGUUGCCACGACAACCUUGAUUUCCUGUCACCGUUUUCGCAGAGUGCCGGUGAUUGCGCCGGGUGUCCGUUGCACCUGCCGCCCUCUACUCCUCCUCUUCCAGUCUCUCAUCAAGCACUCCCUAUCCCAUACCUCCCAGCCUGCUGAUACACAAAAGAGGGCCGAUAUACAAAGGCAUCACGGAUUAGACCCAAGAGGGUGAGGCUGGCGCGAUCAAAAUACACACACAAACACGCCCUGUUAUCUCCAACACUGCCGAGCUGUGACAGCUAUCAUAUCUACCUUAGACGCUGAUGUCAUUGUACCUGGGGAAGGUUUACUAUCAGUGCACACACAUACACAAGUCACCUCCCUCUUCUCCGCAAGAGGUUGGCACCUUCUGUUUUUUUCAUUAAUGGAGAGCUCAUUAAUCGUGAGUGAUAACGAGGACAUGGGACAGGGACAUGAUUAAGGGGCUCUCUCUCCUUUAGCUGGUCGCCCUUGGGAAUAAAUAGCCUUACGUGUGUGUGGUCCGCAUGUUAAAACAGGUAAAGGACAUACUGUAAAUCUGUUGCUAUCACUAGGACAUCUCUGGUGUAGGACCCUGGGACACGAUUCCCACUUUUGUUAUUCCAAGUAAGGCCAACACACCGAUUGCACAUUAAAGCUGCAUACAUCUUCCGUAAAGAUGGAUGAUGGAAGCAGCUGGAAUUUUCACUUGUAUGGAAGAUGACGCCUUAGGUUUACCACGCUUAGCUCCUAACGCAGUCAUUCAUUUCAAUUGCAUAUUCCAAAGAAAAAAACGGACUGAUUGGUGAACCUUAAUUUGUGUGGUAUCCUGUAAUUGUCCAAUUCGAUUAGUGCAUUAGGGUGAGCGACAGUUAAUCGAAAAUAGCGAGAGAUAUAUAUGCCAGACUGGCUCCAAUUUCUCAUUGCUUUAGACUAUGAAAUUGUCCAUCACACUUUGUGAAGCAUGUUAUGUUUUAUGAAUCAAACGUCACUUUGCUUAUCUAGUAUCAUAACCAAAGGAAUAAUACCUCUUGGAUCCAAAAUAAAAUCAGAAUAGUUAAGACAUCUCUUGGUUUUUGUGAUCAUAAUAUCUUGAUCAGAUUUAGUAAGUGAAUGACUGCCGAUGAAAACAAUAGUGUGAUAAUCCGUGACACUGCGUAACAUCCAAACUGACCCAACCGAUUGCAAUGAAUGAAACUGAUCCGGAAACAUUGCAGGGUGAUAUGAUGUCACGGAAAGAGAGCAGAGAUCAGGCCGUAUACAUCCGUGAGGGCUUUGCAGUACGGCAAUCAUUUAGCCUUACACACACAUUAAAUCCAAUCUGUCUGGACCAAGACCUUAAUCCCUUCUCCUCCACCACGGACACAAGCAGACAGUAAUCCUCCAUAUUUGUAUAUUAACAGCCAAGAGUCUCAGGAGCGGACGGACUAUCUAUGCGAUUGUGAUGUAUGUUUUAUGAGUUGGGUAAUCUGCUUGUCGAUCAGAGGAUCUGGUCCAUUUAAAGCCCAAGUUUAAUAAAAACACAGCCACCGCUGCCUGAGGGAUAAGCUGUCCAAGGACAAGGGAAAGAGCAUGGCUGUGUUGAAUAGACUCAUCGGCAACAAUAAACAGCUUUACAUCAACGUUAUCUGUCAUGCCGCAAUACAAUUAUUGUGUGGAAUCCAGCCCUGGGCCUCUGCCCUAUCCUAUGAAGAGGGCUAGAUAAAGCCUGACCCAAAUAUAAACCUGCUACCUUGUUUCCAGGGUGUACGCUUGGCUUGUCUCGAAUGUUAUUUCCGAGGCUGCACUUCAGAUUCAUUGUCCAUAAUAAUGCGCCCUGGAAAACUGUCCUCCUGAAGAGCUGACCCUUCACAUAGUCCAGAGGAGCAGAUGCCGUUCCACAUCAGCAGACAGGAGCCGAACCAUGUGACUCUCACGGGGUAAUCUCAUGGGAGCAUCCCCCCCCCCCGCGAUCUCCCUGAUGGACUGCAACAACAGGAAGUCAGCCUGCAAUCGGCCCGCGACUAACUACCACCACACCUACAGAUAAAGCCAAGUUGCGCGCACCGGUCCCAUCCAAGGAAGCGCUGCGAGUGAGAAGAGAGACGCUCGGCAGUUUGCAUGCGUGCUUUACCUGAC